rnacentral:lncRNA from 1 species
UGGAAAGGAGCAAGAGAGGAUCUAGGGGAUCAAGAAGUAGCAGUUGCUCAGACACCUGAACAUGAGACUCCUGGCUAAACACUGGACAGUGUUAUUGCAGAUAACUGACCAAGGAAGCAGAAGAGAGGCUGAAGACCUUUUUUUUUUUUUUCCUUUUGCAAAGGCAUAUAGCCACAUGAAAUCUCGUCAGAAAAUUGCAGAGAAAUAUUGUAGAUUAAACAAGCACUAAUGGGGAAGAAAACCUUUUCUCAGACGAACUUCAUCUGAUAAUUCCAACGGCCAAGAUCUCCGGGCAGUUUGUGUGGUGUUCAGCAAGAUGUCAUAUUUAUCGGAGCUAUAGAAGACAUUUAUUGCUUCAUACACUGGGAUCUCUCUUGGGAUUCCUAUUGAAAUACAUGCCAUUAAAUCACCUUCAGCAAGUUGCUGCACUGAUGUCCAUGGGGCAUCUGCCAAAAAGCAGAGGCUUAGGCUGAGUGUAAUACCAAAUGAUUUGGUUUGACUCUGACUGUGUUCAGAAAAGUUCCAAGGGGAAAAAAAAACAAAAGCAAAAGUAAAAAAAAUCUAAAGUUUAAAUUUCUUAGUCAAACUUCCAUUAACAAUUAAAUGUGUUUUAGAUAUGCAG